AUACGGAGGGGGCUAGCGUUGUUCGGAAUUACUGGGCGUAAAGCGUACGCAGGCGGAUAUUUAAGUUAGAGGUGAAAUCCCAGGGCUCAACCCUGGAACUGCCCUUAAAACUGGGUAUCUAGAGUUAUGGAGAGGUAAGUGGAAUUCCUAGUGUAGAGGUGAAAUUCGUAGAUAUUAGGAGGAACACCAGAGGCGAAGGCGGCUUACUGGACAUAUACUGACGCUGAGGUACGAAAGUGUGGGGAGCGAACGGGAUUAGAUACCCUAGUAGUCC
rnacentral:rRNA from 1 species